AAAAAGAAAGUGGGCCUUCAUCAAAAUAAAUAAAUGAAUAAAUAAAGUGGGCUUUCUCUGCAAAGUUCUCUUGUUUCUUUGAAUCUUUAGCAUCUAGAAAACAAAAUGACACUACAAACUGAUGGUUGCCCGAUGCCCCAAGUUCAUUCCCAUACAUCUAUUUCGGUUCUUGUCGAUUGAACUAUUAAUGCUGAUUUUGUAAAUGACCUGUUUUCCAUGCAGAUAAGAUGAUUCCAGAAGAACUGGGGAAUGUAUCCCGCUUACAUCCCCAAUAGGAAAUCUUUCGAGCGUGCAGGUGAGGGACAACUGCUGUAUUCUUUAAAUUACUACUUAUCUUGCUGGGAUGGAUCUAUGCAGCCGCCUAACUGAUGCUAGAUGGCUGUGAUGGUAAAGGCCGGACAGAAGCCUUGUUCUGGCAAUAAUUUUAGAGAAAUUUUUUGUGCACCGUGAAUGGUGUAAAAAAUUCGAUAUCAAGUGCACCGUUUUAUGUGAUUGGUCUACGUAGUCAUCAUUUUUCAAUGCACAUUUAAUGUCUGUAAUUUUAUUUUUUCAUUUAAAAAUUUUGUAUGACGAAGAUAUCUCUAUUUUUUGAAAAAAAUUAUGACAUCAUGUGGCAUAUUAUGACUUUCUAUACACAGGAUGUCAUAAUAUGGUCCAGAAAAUUAUGACAUUCUAUAUAUAUUAUGACAUCCUAUAUCAAAUUAUGACUUUCUGUAUGCAGGAUGUUAUAAUAUAAUUUAGGAUGUCAUAAUAUGGCUCAGAAUAUCAUAAUAUAGAAGGGAUAUUUUUGUCCAAUAAUUUUUCAACAUGCGAUUAAUACUUACAGUUUUAUUUUUUCAUUUGAAAAUUUUGAAUGAUGAAGGUACAUCUGUAUUUUAAAAAAAAUUAUGACAUCCUACGUUAUAUUAUGAUAUACUGUGGACAAAAAAUAUAAUUUUUUGGAUGCAAGAUAUCAUAAUAUAGAUAUAGGAAAGGGGCAUUUUCAUUAUUCAAAAUUUUAAACGAAAAAAUAAAAUUACGGACAUUAAAUGUGCGUUGGAAAGUAAAGACUAUGUGGAUCAAUCGGAUAAGAUGAUACAUUCUACGUCGGAUUCUUUACACCAUCCACGGUGCACAAAGAAUUUUUAUUCUUUACACCAUCCACGGUGCACAAAGUUAUUUAGUUCUUGCCCAAACUUGGAGCAGCCAGUUCGGAAUGCUUGCACUUUUAACAUCUUCUGAACAAAUUUAGGAUCCUUGGAGCCUUAGGAUGUCCUUAGGAGGUGAGAGUAUAGUUUGCAUGCAUGAUGCGAUUGAACUACUGCAUCUUCUGUAUAUUCUCACAGGUUUUCUGAAUUGAUGCAAGUCAUGGUCUAAAUAAAAUGGCAUAUCAUCAAAAGACCUGUUUGAACUGCGGAACCUAAUCUUGCCCCCGAGUUUCAUAAGAUGGUAUCAUCUUGAAGUUAAAGUAUGUCUUAAAAAAUCAUAUACCAAAGCAAAUUCAAAAGAAGCUUCUACCUAGCAUCACGUGCAACUUAGCACGCUAAUCUAAAUGGGAAUGCAAGUUUUGACAAAUGCAGGAUUAUGGAUGCAAAUAUAUGUGCAUUAAUAUCGAUAUGAACAUUCACAGCAUAUAUCCAUCGGUGAAUGCAUGAAUUUUUAUAAGUUGUGUUUUUGACUAAAUCAUGUAAUUAUUUCAAUAACUGUGUCAAGCUUUGUUAGUCCUCUUCUUUGCUCACAUUCUAAAUCAUGUAAUUAUAAGGUUGAGUCCACAUUCUAAAUAUGAACUUCUUCAAGUCAAACAUGGACAAUCCCAGUAUUUAGCAAAAGUAGUAACGGUGACAAGUUGCUGUUCAUCUACCACUUCAGUCACAUCUGAAGGCCCCUUCUCAGCAUGAUCGACUAAGGAUAUAAUGAUAUCAGCCAACGCCAACCAUUUUUCGGACAAAGGAGGAGCCAAGUAGAGGCAGUGGGCCAGCGAAAGAGUGGUUCAGGUGACCGCAUGAUCAACUAAAGAUAUACAAUGUCACUCGGAUCCUUUAUCAUCUGUGACAUUAAUCAUAUACAAGAACGAAUCAGUAUCACAGAUGGCUAAUAUUUACAAACGAAAACAAGAACAAAUUCAAAAUUAUUAAUUGAACUCAUUGCCAAGCCCUAACUGUAUGGUUCGGAAGCAUCAUGAUUCGUCACUUUUUUCAUAUGAAAUAAGCAAGCAUGCAUGUAGAAUAGUACUCCGGAUAGAGUUGUCAUUUGAUAUUGCCUGUCAUGGUUGGUUCAGGCAAAACAACUGAAAGUUGGCAAUGUUAUAGCGUGUUGAUUACAUAGAGAUAUAGGUGCCUCUCUUUCUACCUUUUUUUGGCAAACAAUUACAACGAAUGGAAUAGAGAAAGUCCGUACAUAUCCUAUGAACUUUGCUUUUUUUUUUUAGAACAAAAAAAUCAGAUACUAUAUGGAAGCAUUGCAGAAUGACCCAG
rnacentral:lncRNA from 1 species